CAGUAGCCGCGGUAAUACGGAGGGGGCUAGCGUUGUUCGGAAUUACUGGGCGUAAAGCGCACGUAGGCGGCCUUGUAAGUUAGAGGUGAAAGCCCAGGGCUUAACCCUGGAACUGCCUUUAAGACUGCAAAGCUUGAAUCGCGGAGAGGUGAGUGGAAUUCCGAGUGUAGAGGUGAAAUUCGUAGAUAUUCGGAAGAACACCAGUGGCGAAGGCGGCUCACUGGACGCGUAUUGACGCUGAGGUGCGAAAGCGUGGGGAGCAAACAGGAUUAGAUACCCGCGUAGUCCCUGUCUCUUAUAC
rnacentral:rRNA from 1 species